UCCGGUUGAUCCCGCCGGACCUGACUGCUAUCGGAUUGAUACUAAGCCAUGCGAGUCUUUGUAGUAAUACAAGGCAGACGGCUCAGUAACACGUAGUCAACCUACCCUAUGGACGAGAAUAAUCUCGGGAAACUGAGGAUAAUACUCGAUAGAUCAUAAUGCCUGGAAUGGUUUAUGGUUAAAAUGAUUCGUCGCCAUAGGAUGGGACUGCGGCCUAUCAGCUUGUUGGUGAGGUAAUGGCCCACCAAGGCGAUUACAGGUACGGGCUCUGAGAGGAGAAGCCCGGAGAUGGGUACUGAGACAAGGACCCAGGCCCUAUGGGGCGCAGCAGGCGAGAAAACUUUGCAAUGUGCGAAAGCACGACAAGGUUAAUCCGAGUGAUUUCUGCUAAAGAAAUCUUUUACCAGUCAUAAAACCACUGGUGAAUAAGGGGUGGGCAAGUUCUGGUGUCAGCCGCCGCGGUAAAACCAGCACCUCAAGUGGUCAGGAUGAUUAUUGGGCCUAAAGCAUCCGUAGCCUGCUUUGUUAGUUUUCGGUUAAAUCCAUGUGCUCAACGCAUGGGCCGCCGAAAAUACUGCACAGCUAGGGAGUGGGAGAGGUAGACGGUACUCGGUAGGAAGGGGUAAAAUCCUUUGAUCUAUCGAUGACCACCUGUGGCGAAGGCGGUCUACCAGAACACGUUCGACGGUGAGGGAUGAAAGCUGGGGGAGCAAACCGGAUUAGAUACCCGGGUAGUCCCAGCUGUAAACGAUGCAGACUCGAUGAUGCAUUGGCAUAUAGCCAGUGCAGUGUCGCAGGGAAGCCGUUAAGUCUGCCGCCUGGGAAGUACGUACGCAAGUAUGAAACUUAAAGGAAUUGGCGGGGGAGCACCACAAGGGGUGAAGCCUGCGGUUCAAUUGGAUUCAACGCCGGA
rnacentral:rRNA from 1 species